rnacentral:rRNA from 1 species
AUUGAACGCUGGCGGCAUGCCUAACACAUGCAAGUCGAACGAGUGGCGGACGGGUGAGUAAUUUCUGGGAAACUGCCUGAUGGAGGGAGAUAACUACUGGAAACGGUAGCUACUACCGCAUACCAUCAGAUGUGCCCAGAUUGGAUUAGCUAGUUGGUGUGGUAACGGAUCACCAAGGCGACGAUCCCUAGCUGGGCUGAGAGGAUGACCGGCCACACUGGAAAUGAGAAACGGUCCAGACUCCUACGGGAGGCAGCAGUGGGGAAUAUUGGACAAUGGGCGCAAGCCUGAUGCAGCCAUGCCGCGUGUAUGAAGAAGGUCUUCGGGUUGUAAAGUACUUUCAGCGGGGAGGCGGUACCCGCAGAAGAAGCACCGGCUAACUCCGUGCCAGCAGCCGCGGUAAUAC